CAGAGGCAACCAGCAGCUAAAUAAUGCCUUUACAGUCAGUUGCAUAGUUUCAGCUGAAAAAUGGGAGAACUCCACACUAACAUGCAGUAUUCUAAGUGAGCAAUGGAGCGGGGCUGUACUUAACCUGAAUUGUCAAGGAAAAUUAACCCUCUUCAUUGGAGCCUUUCCUAGAAGAAUUGAGCCCUAAAAGGUUUUAAAGCAGGUGGCGCUAUUGACCGUGCAGUGGCGGCAGCACCUCCACGUCCUGGCUGGGGAGUCCCCAGCGCGCAGCAGGUGACACCCCCACUGGUGCUGGUCACACGCAUCGUGCUCUCUCUUCGACUUACCCGCCACGGUCGCUGUCUGAGUAGUUCUUGAAUGUCUUCAGACUGGUAGUACAACAAAGC
rnacentral:lncRNA from 1 species